GACACAAACAAUUCUGUCCCUGAAGAACUGAAACGUAAACAAAGGAAUUAUCAUCCAUAUUACAACAUUAUUGCUUCGUUGGACUAAACGUGCUCCAUGAGAUUUCAUUCAAUGGGCCCUUACCUUUCUAACUAAACCGGGAUUUACAGCUGUGGAUGUGUUUAUGACUCGUUAUUACGACGAAUCUGUCCCCACAACUCCAGCGGCUCCAGUGUCAGUGUAUUUAAGGCACGUCAACACAUCCCCUCUCCAGCAAAGUACAGGAUUUCUUCGGCUGCUACAGAUUCUUCUAGACUACUAGAUACAAGUACAGCCAAUUAAGUCGCUAGAUGCUGGAGUUUAAAUUCACCACUUUGGCUGGGAGGAGCCAGAAUAUGAAGGAUUUAAUGAGGGACUGAAGCCAUUUCGCCAUCAUUACUGCCUUCGACGACGAGACAAGUCCCUGUUCAAGAUUGGGGCUAUCUGCCACCACCCUGUCGACCUCCCAGACACCACAGGACUGCAGUGGAGGGAGGCGAUCCUCCAGUGUCUGGAGAGCGUCCAGCCCUGAUUGCGAACGCUGCUUGACCCAGAGCCCAGCCCACUAUCACCCCGCUGUGCGGAGCAAGAUCCUGAGCCCACCGCUGACAGAGAGCCAGAACCCGCCGUGACCGAUGAGCCAUCGCCAAAGAGAGCGACAGUGCUGAGGAUCGCCCCGGAGCUAUAGCCCAAUAAGUCAGACCGCUGCGAGAGCCAGCUAUAGAGC
ensembl:lncRNA